rnacentral:sRNA from 1 species
UGCUUUUCUGCAGAACUUAGGACUGUGCAAAUAUGUCAUCUACUUUUUUACAAAAACUCAAAAUAACACUAAAAGGGAAUCUAGAGCCACUAAACUGCAAGCUUCUAGCCAUAGGUUUAAAGUUUGCAAGAAAGCAUGCUUUGCAAGCAAAAAUGGCACUUGGAACUUUACGAACUUAUAAAGACUUCGCAGAGCCAUGGAACCCGCCUUGUUUACCCUACAGAGACUUUUUCCGGCUCGAGAGCCUCCGAACUGCCCCGCCUCCGUUUCUUCCGCCCAUGGAGGAGCGAGUAUCAUACGAACUGCAAUAAGUGGCGGCGAUAAAUAAAGUGCCCGUCCCCAUUUUCAUUUUAUAGCCAGAUCGUGAGACAAUAAAAUGCAAAGCCAAUGAGUGCGCUGCUGGCAAGAGAAAUUAAUAAGCACUCGAGUGCAAAGUACUGCUCACCACUAUCACUAUCAUAGGCCGAAUGCUGUUGAUUUGCAUUACAGCGGCGGAGUGGGGGGAGUCGCUUAUCAGCAAUGGGAGCCACAGCAGCAGCGGGCUGAUAGUGAUAACAGCGCCGAUACCGAAAUACACACGUUGUGUCGGUGUGCGUGGCGUAGAUUAUUGUUAUUAUUGAUUAAUAAACAAUUGUCUCACUCACACAGAAAGUAGCUGAGGCUGUA